UUGAUAAGCGUGAGGUCGGAGGUUCAAGUCCUCCCAGGCCCACCAAUCACUCUAUUAAUUUAUAUGCCUUGGUUAUAUACCUUGGAGUGCUUUUUCUAUGCAGGUUACUUCUAUAAAGCCCAUAAAUUUGUAAGUGGUUUAUCCCUCUUACGCAAUAAUGCUCUUAGGCUAAUUUUCUUAGGUGUGCUGAUAAAUGAACUUGUAAAAUGAAGUUCCUGAAAUCAAGGUGGAUUAUAAAACUUAUAGAAGCGUUGUAAAAUGCUGCUUUUCUGUUUGCCUGAGGUCAUGCAGGGUGGAGAAUUUACAAGGAGAUGAGGCAGUCUACAGGCUGAUGUUAUUCUCCUUUGUCUGUUCUUAGAUUUUAUAAGUGCUUUUAAAAUCAAAAAUUUUUGUGUGCAUUAACUGUUUUAGGGGCCGUAGCUCAGCUGGGAGAGCACCUGCUUUG
rnacentral:misc_RNA from 1 species